rnacentral:rRNA from 1 species
GAUGAACGCUAGCUACAGGCUUAACACAUGCAAGUCGAGGGGCAGCAUGACUUAGCAAUAGGUUGAUGGCGACCGGCGCACGGGUGAGUAACACGUAUCCAACCUGCCGAUUAUUCCGGGAUAGCCUUUCGAAAGAAAGAUUAAUACUGGAUAGCAUAACGAGAAGGCAUCUUCUUGUUAUUAAAGAAUUUCGAUAAUCGAUGGGGAUGCGUUCCAUUAGUUUGUUGGCGGGGUAACGGCCCACCAAGACAUCGAUGGAUAGGGGUUCUGAGAGGAAGGUCCCCCACAUUGGAACUGAGACACGGUCCAAACUCCUACGGGAGGCAGCAGUGAGGAAUAUUGGUCAAUGGACGAGAGUCUGAACCAGCCAAGUAGCGUGAAGGAUGACUGCCCUAUGGGUUGUAAACUUCUUUUAUAUGGGAAUAAAGUGGGCCACGUGUGGCCUUUUGUAUGUACCAUACGAAUAAGGAUCGGCUAACUCCGUGCCAGCAGCCGCGGUAAUACGGAGGAUCCGAGCGUUAUCCGGAUUUAUUGGGUUUAAAGGGAGCGUAGGCGGAUUAUUAAGUCAGUUGUGAAAGUUUGCGGCUCAACCGUAAAAUUGCAGUUGAUACUGGUAGUCUUGAGUGCAGCAGAGGUAGGCGGAAUUCGUGGUGUAGCGGUGAAGUGCUUAGAUAUCACGAAGAACUCCGAUUGCGAAGGCAGCUUACUGGACUGUAACUGACGCUGAUGCUCGAAAGUGUGGGUAUCAAACAGGAUUAGAUACCCUGGUAGUCCACACAGUAAACGAUGAAUACUCGCUGUUUGCGAUAUACGGCAAGCGGCCAAGCGAAAGCAUUAAGUAUUCCACCUGGGGAGUACGCCGGCANCGGUGAAACUCAAAGGAANUGACGGGGGCCCGCACNAGCNGAGGACAUGGUGGUUUAAAUUCGAUGAUACGCGAGGAACCUUACCCGGGCUUAAUGCAACUGACGGAUUUGGAAACAGAUCUCCUUCGGGCAGUUGUGAGUGCUGC